rnacentral:tRNA from 1 species
UUAUGGCUCAGCCAGUAGAGCACGAGACUCUUAACCUCAGGGUUGUGGGUUUGAGCCCCAUGUCGGGCAAAA